AUUGAACGCUGGCGGCAGGCUUAACACAUGCAAGUCGAACGAUGAAGUCUAGCUUGCUAGACGGUAGAGCGGCGGACGGGGGAGUAACGCGUAGGAAUUUGCCCAGUAGUGGGGGACAACAUGUGGAAACGCAUGCUAAUACCGCAUACGCCUUACGGGGGAAAGCAGGGGAUCACCAUGCGCUAUUGGAGAAGCCUGCGUCGGAUUAGCUAGUUGGUGGGGUAAAGGCCCACCAAGGCGAUGAUCCGUAGCUGGUCUGAGAGGAUGAUCAGCCACACUGGGACUGAGACACGGCCCAGACUCCUAUGGGAGGCAGCAGUGGGGAAUAUUGGACAAUGGGGGCAAGCCUGAUCCAGCCAUGCCGCGUGUGUGAAGAAGGCCUUAGGGUUGUAAAGCACUUUCAGUAGGGAGGAAAAGUUAGUCGUUAAUAACGGCUAACCCUGACGUUACCUACAGAAGAAGCACCGGUAAACUCCGUGUUAGUAGUUGUGGUAAUACGGAGGGUGCGAGCGUUAAUCGGAAUUACUGGGCGUAAAGCGCGCGUAGGCGGCCUGAUAAGUUGGAUGUGAAAGCCCUGGGCUCAACCUAGGAACUGCAUUCAAAACUGUCAGGCUAGAGUAUGGUAGAGGAUAGUGGAAUUUAUGGUGUAGCGGUGAAAUGUGUAGAGAUCUGAAGGAAUACCGGUGGCGAAGGCGGCCCCCUGGAUUGAUACUGACACUGAGGUGCGAAAGCGUGGGUAGUAAACAGGAUUAGAUAUCCUGGUAGUCCACGCCGUAAACGAUGUCUACUAGCCGUUGGGUUCCUUGAGGACUUAGUGGCGCAGUUAAUGCAAUAAGUAGACCGCCUGGGGAGUACGGCCGUAAGGUUAAAACUCAAAUGAAUUGACGGGGGCCCGCAUAAGCGGUGGAGCAUGUGGUUUAAUUCGAUGCAACGCGAAGAACCUUACCAGGUCUUGACAUCCAGAGAAUCCUGCAGAGAUGCGGGAGUGCCUUCGGGAAUUCUGAGACAGGUGCUGCAUGGCUGUCGUCAGCUCGUGUCGUGAGAUGUUGGGUUAAGUCCCGUAACGAGCGCAACCCUUAUCCUUAGUUGCCAUCACAUUUAGUUGGGGACUCUAAGGAGACUGACGGUGACAAACCGGAGGAAGGUGGGGACGACGUCAAGUCAUCAUGGCCCUUACGACCUGGGCCUACACACGCGCUACAAUGGUUGGUACCAAGGGUUGCCUCCCAGCAAUGUCAUGCUAAUCUCCAAAAACCCACUCGAAUUCCCGGAUUGGAGUCUGCAACCCGACUCCCAUGCAGCCGCAAUCGCAAGCUACCCCCUCAUCACUAUGCUGCCGUCGAAUACUUGCCCGGGGCCU
rnacentral:rRNA from 1 species